rnacentral:tRNA from 1 species
GGGCCCGUAGCUCAGCCAGGACAGAGCGCCGGCCUUCUACGCCGGCGGUCCCGGGUUCAAAUCCCGGCGGGCCCGCCA